UUAUAAUUAUCAAAAACAAGCAUUAAAAUCUAGUGGCAGCCAUCGUAAAUAAGUCUCAACUACAGGAUUUAUUUCACAAAAUGACUGCAAAAAUGUAUAUAUAGAUACUAUUUUGAAUAUAACUUAUUAUUACCAACAUGUAGUAACCAUUAUUUAAAAGCCACAAAAAAAA
rnacentral:sRNA from 1 species